GCUGGGCGUGGUGGUGGGCGCCUGUAAUCCCCGCUACUCAGGAGGCUGAGGCAGGAGAAUCGCUUGAACUCAGGAGGCAGAGGUUGCAGUGAGCCAAGAUCACGCCACUGCAAUCUAGUCUGAGUGACAGAGUGAGACUCCGUCUCAA
rfam:Pan troglodytes isolate Yerkes chimp pedigree #C0471 (Clint) chromosome 2A, whole genome shotgun sequence.